UAAAUUCAUUUUUUUACAGAGAUAUGGCAAUAAAUUGCCCUCAAUGAUUACUUUUUGUAAAUAUAACUGGUAGUCACUGGAUUUUUAUUUCACAGUGGCAUCAUUAUUUUAGUUAAAACAAAAAUAAACAAAACGAAUUUGUAUUACUUUCGUAAAAUAAGUCGUUAAUUAUUUCUGCAAGAAAGGCAAGCGAAAAUUGAUAACCAAAAGGAAACCAGUCACAGAGAAAGGGCCAAAAAUUUCUUAAAAGAAGAGAAAAUGUUGCUUGUUAACUUGGUAAAAGACCAUAAGCAUAUUAUCGAGAAUAAAAAGUCAGACUCCGUCGUUUGGAGGCAAAAAGAAGCAGUCUGGAAGAAAAUUCAAAAUGAUUUCGGAAAGCACUGCGCGAUAAAUACGAGGUUAUAAAACUUGUUCAACCUGAUUACAUUGACUACAGUGAGCUAAAUGCAUUUAAUGAAUUUAUUUAGGAAAGCAAUAAAGAAAAUAACAACUCCAUGAAUAUUUCAACAGAAAAAAAGGACUGGUCAACGGACUUUUGCCCACAGUCUUUAAAAAAACCUAAAUCAAAAGAAACGGUUAGCGGUGGCAAAACAAAACGCAACCUAGAGGAAGAAAAACUUGAACAUGUUCUUCUACAACUGAGCUUUUACAGGAACGAGAAUAUUCGUGCUCAGGAGAAGCAUGAAUAUUCGUGCUCAGGAGAAGCAAGAAAAGCAUGGACAUGAAAUAUCUUCAUUGAGACUAAAGAAUGAAAUUUUGCAGUUAAAG
rnacentral:sRNA from 1 species